UGAGAGGGCGUGGCGCCGGAAGAAGUGUGCUCAUAUUGGUGGCUGCCCCCAUGCUAUCAGAAAGGAGACCAAAAUCUGCAACCGGGUGGUCUGCAGAAAGGCAUAUGGCCGCCAU
rnacentral:ribozyme from 1 species